GUGGGGAAUAUUGGACAAUGGGCGCAAGCCUGAUCCAGCCAUGCCGCGUGAGUGAUGAAGGCCCUAGGGUUGUAAAGCUCUUUCACCGGAGAAGAUAAUGACGGUAUCCGGAGAAGGAGCCCCGGCUAACUUCGUGCCAGCAGCCGCGGUAAUACGAAGGGGGCUAGCGUUGUUCGGAAUUACUGGGCGUAAAGCGCACGUAGGCGGACAUUUAAGUCAGGGGUGAAAUCCCGGGGCUCAACCCCGGAACUGCCUUUGAUACUGGGUGUCUGGAGUAUGGAAGAGGUAAGUGGAAUUCCGAGUGUAGAGGUGAAAUUCGUAGAUAUUCGGAGGAACACCAGUGGCGAAGGCGGCUUACUGGUCCAUUACUGACGCUGAGGUGCGAAAGCGUGGGGAGCAAACAGGAUUAGAUACCCCGGUAGUCC
rnacentral:rRNA from 1 species